GCUUGGAUGGCUCAGUUGGUUAGAGCGCAGGUCUCAUACUCCGUGUAUGACCCCCGCACGGUGGGCAAUCCUGAGGUCGUGAGUUCGAUCCUCACUCCGAGCA
rnacentral:tRNA from 1 species